CAGGAUGAACGCUGGCGGCGUGCUUAACACAUGCAAGUCGAACGGGGAUUACACGGAGAUGCGAUUUCGGUCAAAUCAAGUGCAAUCUUAGUGGCGGACGGGUGAGUAACGCGUGGGUAACCUGCCUUGCACUGGGGGAUAACACUUAGAAAUAGGUGCUAAUACCGCAUAAGCGCACGGUCCUGCAUGGGACAGUGUGAAAAACUCCGGUGGUGCAAGAUGGACCCGCGUCUGAUUAGCUGGUUGGCGGGGUAAAGGCCCACCAAGGCGACGAUCAGUAGCCGGCCUGAGAGGGUGGACGGCCACAUUGGGACUGAGACACGGCCCAAACUCCUACGGGAGGCAGCAGUGGGGGAUAUUGGACAAUGGGGGGAACCCUGAUCCAGCGACGCCGCGUGAGUGAAGAAGUAUUUCGGUAUGUAAAGCUCUGUCAGCAGGGAAGAAAGCAAUGACGGUACCUGACCAAGAAGCCCCGGCUAACUACGUGCCAGCAGCCGCGGUAAUACGUAGGGGGCAAGCGUUAUCCGGAAUUACUGGGUGUAAAGGGAGCGUAGACGGCUGUGCAAGUCUGGAGUGAAAGGCGGGGGCCCAACCCCCGGACUGCUCUGGAAACUGUAUGGCUGGAGUGCAGGAGAGGUAAGCGGAAUUCCUAGUGUAGCGGUGAAAUGCGUAGAUAUUAGGAGGAACACCAGUGGCGAAGGCGGCUUACUGGACUGUAACUGACGUUGAGGCUCGAAAGCGUGGGGAGCAAACAGGAUUAGAUACCCUGGUAGUCCACGCCGUAA
rnacentral:rRNA from 1 species